rnacentral:rRNA from 1 species
GCAGUCGAGCGAAUGGAUUGAGAGCUUGCUCUCAAGAAGUUAGCGGCGGACGGGUGAGUAACACGUGGGUAACCUGCCCAUAAGACUGGGAUAACUCCGGGAAACCGGGGCUAAUACCGGAUAAUAUUUUGAACUGCAUGGUUCGAAAUUGAAAGGCGGCUUCGGCUGUCACUUAUGGAUGGACCCGCGUCGCAUUAGCUAGUUGGUGAGGUAACGGCUCACCAAGGCAACGAUGCGUAGCCGACCUGAGAGGGUGAUCGGCCACACUGGGACUGAGACACGGCCCAGACUCCUACGGGAGGCAGCAGUAGGGAAUCUUCCGCAAUGGACGAAAGUCUGACGGAGCAACGCCGCGUGAGUGAUGAAGGCUUUCGGGUCGUAAAACUCUGUUGUUAGGGAAGAACAAGUGCUAGUUGAAUAAGCUGGCACCUUGACGGUACCUAACCAGAAAGCCACGGCUAACUACGUGCCAGCAGCCGCGGUAAUACGUAGGUGGCAAGCGUUAUCCGGAAUUAUUGGGCGUAAAGCGCGCGCAGGUGGUUUCUUAAGUCUGAUGUGAAAGCCCACGGCUCAACCGUGGAGGGUCAUUGGAAACUGGGAGACUUGAGUGCAGAAGAGGAAAGUGGAAUUCCAUGUGUAGCGGUGAAAUGCGUAGAGAUAUGGAGGAACACCAGUGGCGAAGGCGACUUUCUGGUCUGUAACUGACACUGAGGCGCGAA